GAUGAAUGCUGGCGGCGUGCCUAACACAUGCAAGUCGAGCGGCAGCGAGGGGUGCUUGCACCCUGUCGGCGAGCGGCGAACGGCUGAGUAACGCGUAGGAAUUUGCCCCAAAGUGAGGAAUAACUGCCCGAAAGGGUAGCUAAUGCCGCAUAUGGUCUUCGGAUUAAAGGAUUUAUCCGCUUUGGGAGAAGCCUGCGUUGGAUUAGGUUGUUGGUAGGGUAAUGGCCUACCAAGCCGACGAUCCAUAGCUGGUCUGAGAGGAUGAUCAGCCAGACUGGAACUGAGACACGGUCCAGACUCCUACGGGAGGCAGCAGUGAGGAAUCUUCCACAAUGGGCGAAAGCCUGAUGGAGCAACGCCGCGUGAAGGAUGAAGGCCUUCGGGUUGUAAACUUCUUUUAUGAGUGAAGAAUAUGACGGUAACCCAUGAAUAAGCACCGGCUAACUACGUG
rnacentral:rRNA from 1 species